rnacentral:rRNA from 1 species
UACGUAGGGGGCAAGCGUUGUCCGGAAUCAUUGGGCGUAAAGAGCGCGUAGGCGGUCCGGUAAGUCGGUUGUGAAAACUGGGGGCUCAACCCUCAGAGGCCGACCGAUACUGUCGGGCUAGAGUCCGGAAGAGGCGAGUGGAAUUCCUGGUGUAGCGGUGAAAUGCGCAGAUAUCAGGAGGAACACCAAUGGCGAAGGCAGCUCGCUGGGACGGUACUGACGCUGAGGAGCGAAAGCGUGGGGAGCGAACAGG